GUGGCUAAUGGUAUCUUCAGUGCGCUACGG
rnacentral:piRNA from 1 species